rnacentral:tmRNA from 1 species
GGGGACGAGUGGUUUCGACAGGGGAGGGAUAUCUCAGGUAUGCAGGCGGAGGCGCCAUCAACCUCCUAAAACUGGUGGCAAGGCAAUAACUGCCGAUAAUAGACUAGCUCUAGCCGCUUAAGCGGUUAGCGUCUCCCCUCGCCUCCCCCCGAUGGGUGAGGAAGAGGCGCCGAUUGAUCGGGGUGCUGUAGUCCGGACGCCGAUAAGGGCUACAAAAGACACAUCAGCUGGUCCUGGGGAACUCUGCCGGUCGAGGUUCCCGGGACGAGACAAAAAGGCCGGAUAAGCCUGUAGUGGCCCUGGAUGGCUUUCUCUUGGACGGGGAGUUCAACUCUCCCCCGUCUCCACCA